rnacentral:misc_RNA from 1 species
ACUAAAGACUGAAGAAUAUCGCGGACAUCGGUGAGCAGUACAUGUACAUGUACAUUCUCAAAUCUCCAGUCUUGUGAGAACCUUCUUCGUAUCUAGUUCGCUAAUUUCGCUCUUCCUGAUGAAGUUUAUGACAGGUUGGUUACAAUGAAAUAAUGUGAACGUGGUUUCGCGAGUUGGACGUGAUAUGGAGACUUUUAAUUGUAUGCCUAUUAUCACCAAAUCUAAACCGAGGCCUAACUUAACGGGGCAUUUUUAUCAUAAUGUGCCGAGGAAUAUGCGAACAGUUGGGAGCGAAUAUACUGUAGAAAACUCGACAGGUAUACGAACGAUAUCAUCGCGUAAUCAUGGCAAAUAUCCCUGGCAAGAACGAUCUCCACCGACAUCAGUUGCCUGUAUUGGAGUCGAACAAAAGACUCCAAAGGGUAAAUUAUGUUCCAUCACGUUAGCCAUAGCUUCCUUUGUAGUUCUAGUAGCUGUUCUAGUAAUUGCUGGUCUCGCAUUAUACAUGGGGGUGUUACACACGAAUACUCCAAAUGCACUUCUUACAUUUAGCUGUAGUGCAAAAAUCUUGAAAGGAGAUAGGUUUAUAGGAUCUUUCCAGGACAAGGCACGUAGAUAUAAAAGAAACUUUGAAACCAUGUAUCAAAGGAGUAUAUUAGGCCAAGCGUUUAUAUCUUGUAUUAUAGAAAAAUUUGGAAAUGACACAUUAACAAUAUAUUUUAAACUAACGUUCAAUCGCAUGAAAUUGUCAAGGAAUGUCUCAAAUAUUGAGAAAGCCAUUAAGGAUAUCCUCAUAACAGAUGCAAUUUCUAGACAUUCUGUAUUCAAAAAUAUUCGAUUUGAUCCAAAAUAUAUAACCGUAAGACAAGUAUUGAGUAACGACAUCAUUCAUCAAAUAAAUCUAAAUCCUUCUCUUAUUACACCAUCUGAUCAUAUGAUCAAAGGAACUGUUCCUGCAAAAACUAACGUAGUUUUAAGGUCUUAUACUAAUAAGACUUCAGCAACAAUUGCAGUUUCUACUAAUAAACCAGCUGAACCAGUAAUGAAAUCAGUACCUGAACAUACAGAUCAAAUUAAAGAACACCACGUGCCUUUGAUCCAAGGUUCUUUUAAAAUAAGUAAAACUGAUGCUGAUAUUACCGAGAAAAAGAUUGAGCAAUCUACUGUUAAAUUCAAACCUGAAAAACCUACACAAGCUUUUAGCAAAAAAUCCACUUUUAAAGAAUCAUCUAUUACUAGUGCGUUGUAUAAAAUGGGAGCUGUAGAAAAAGUUACCAAGCAAUCUGCACUGCCUAUAGAAAAUACAAAUUCAGUAUCAUCGACAACUACAAGUACAAUUAUACCGCCCACAACAACCGUAACAACUAAUAAAAUAAUGUAUCUUCCUGAAUCGUCUGCUAAACCUGUAUUCUUGUUAAAUCCCUUUGACGAUGCUCCUUGGAUUCCAAUUCUACCAAACAUGUCACCUUUUACAGAUAAACCUACUAAUUAUAAACACAAUGAAUUUCUAAACAAUCCAUAUUAUUUAAGGUCAACUCUAACACCUUUAGCUGAGCAAAAUCAACCUGUUUACACUAGUUUUACCAACUUGGGAUUGUCAGUAAACUUUAAUGAUGCAGAGAGAUUGGGAUCGACAAGUUUAAAAAGUCAUCCUAUUCCAGUAAACAAAAUACCACAAAUUGAAGAUUCGACUAAUCCAACGAAACAAGACAUUUUUUCUAACUUCAAUAAUGAAAAAUUUAGUCAAACGUCGUAUGUAAGUUAUACAGACUCAUCUCCGCUAAAACAAGUCACUCAUAGCACUAAAAAUGAGGAAGUUAGCGAAUUUCCUAUAAUGACAGCUAAACCAAACUCCAUGGAAUUUGUUAUAAUCGAAACUCUUCAGAAUGUUCCCAACAAAAAGGAAGACUCGGAAGAUAAGAAACAACAAUUAAUUAAAAAUAUAUCUUCUAUAUUUCGUACCUUAGCAUCUUCACCAGAUGCCUCUAGAUUAAAUUUUUCUUCCAUACAGACUACUUCUAUUAACCCUAAAGAAGAAGAACAUUUUUCGGGUCAAGGACAAGUAGAAGUUGUAGUGGAUGAUGUUGAUGAUUUAGUGCUGCACACGACAAAAAAUUCACUGAUAACUUUACUUCCUGUUAAGUCUAAUUCAGGUAUUGGGAGACCAAUACGAAAAAGACCAUUUCAAUCUGCAGAGGACAGAAUGGCCGCGGAAAACAGGAGUUUUCCUAACCAGCCCCCACAAGUAAAUUUUAAGCCAGUAAUAAAUAACAAGGAUGUGAAACGAGCUAAUGAUGAUUUUAAAAUAAUGGGCACAUUAAAUUUUGCUACUGAAGAUUCUCUAGAAAAUAAUAAUUACUCUGACAUUGUAAGGUAUCCUAAAAUGGAAGUAGAAGUGCCCUUAGAAAAGUUUCAAUCUGAUUCAAUUGUUUAUGGUAAAAACGAGACUGAAUUCAAUAAAACUCAUGGUUAUAAUACUCUAACAGCAGAAGAAAUUAGGAAAUUAUCAGAGAUUAGCAAAAUUACAGAUAAUUCAAGUUCUGUAAAUAAAGCACCUGUAAUUUCUAACAAAGGCAUAUUUUCAAGUUACACCAAUCUCAACGGACUUAAAAUACUAACUAAACCUCACAUGAAGAUCAAUUUAUCCCCCAUCGACAAAACUGGAAAAGGAAAUGUCUCAGGUCGUCUAUAAAAGAAUCCAGUCUUCUCAUAACAUUGGGACUUCUUCGAACCGCUACGCGUGUCAUAUCCAGUUGUGCAGUAACAGCUUGCGGACCAAGUAUAUAGUAUAUUUUAGAUGAAUGCAGCUUUUUCUGGUCUUGUAUGCAUUAAAAUUAGACACUUGAACACUGACUAUACUUGUAGGUAUUGCGUUGACCCGGCGAGUCAGCAAUCUUAAACUUUUGGCCAAGAAAGUCAAUAGCGCCCAAUCUAAGAGGAGGAAUGGAACUAGAGAGAGAUAGAGAGAGAACUAUACUUGUAUAUAAGAUGGAAGGCAACCAUAAAUAUGUAUUUCUGAUUAUUUGAUAGUCAUCAGUAUGGUACAGCCAAGUUAGAAAAGGAGAACAUUAACUAUGUGUAUAUGUUACAGUUCAAGUUGAUUCUCAGUUAGAGUUGACUCCAACUAGUUGGAGUCAACUCCAACUGAAACGAGCAGUAAAAGUUGAUUUUAAAAAUUUAAAUCAACUUUUACUAGUUGGAGUUGACUCUUCCUGGAUCGAUUCAGUAAAUGUUGAUUAUACGAGAAUCUCAAGUGCAUUUUUGAUGAGUGUGCGUUUCUUUGUUUUGACCGUUUCAACUACUUAUUAGUAUAGUCUGUAACGUCGCCCCCGUUAGGUAAAUUAUUCUGAUUCGAUUUUUUGCACAAACUUACUCAAAGAAAUAUGUACAUCCGUAUAACAAUCCUUAUAACAAAUACACAGGGUGUCACGCGGUACCGCGGUCGAAAAAUUGUUUAAUCAAUUUUUGUUAACCAAAUUCACAAAAAUAAUUUUUAUCUACUCUAUCUCAUAUUAUGUAAAGCAGCGGUUCUCAAUCUGUGGUACAUGUACCACUGGUGGUACAUAUCAUUAUUUGCGGUGGUACACAAAACACACAAAAACAUAAAAUAGUAGUACAUAGUAAGUCUUGAUUAUACAAUCUAAAAAUAUAGAAAUAUAAUAAAAGAAACUUUAGAUGGUACAUGACUCAAAAAGAUUGAGAACCGCUGAUGUAAAAGUUUUAAUGUGUGAAAAUUGUAAAUAUAGAUAGCAGUGCAUGAAGGGUUUAAAGUGUGUCUGAAGUAACAAUGUAUUUUAAAUGUGUUUUACUUUUUCGCACUGUUUUUUAGCACACUUUCAUAUAAUUAAACAUCCUUAACUUUCGCCUUCGGGAGGAAAUCAGACACGCCCUUGCAACGGCAACUGAAAUGCUCACAAAACAGCGACCACGGAAGCAAAUAUGGAUGACAGAGGAAAUAUUGGAUUUAAUGGAUGAAAGAAGAAAAUGAAUAUUACCACCCUUGGAUUAUAAGCUUUCAUUUGACACCUCAUUUGUCAUAUCGGAAAAGAAAUGAAAGGCAGAAUUUACAAAUCAGUCAUCAGACCAAUAAUGACAUACGCGGCAGAAACACAACCCGACACAGAGAGGACAAAAAGAUUGCUCGAAACAGUCGAGAUGAAAACCCUUCGAAAAAUCGAUAGUAAGACUCUAUGGGACAGAGCUAGAAGUACAGAUAUACGACGGAGAUGCAAGGUGGAUAACAUUAAUAACUGGGUAAUAAACAGAAGAAUAGAAUAGAAUGACCACAUAAGUCGAAUGACAACAAAUAGGGUAGUCAGGACAGCGAGAGACGGUUCCCCAAUAGGAAGACGUUCAGUGGGAAGACCACGAAAACGAUGGAACGACAACUUACUAGAGGCACAUUGAAAAAACAGACAAAGUAAUGUCUAUACAAAAAGAAGAAGAUUUGUCAAUCUACCUGUUAUAAUGACGAAGGAGUUAUAUUCGCGGACGGACGGACAGACAGCCUAGGUUAAAUUUGUCACCUUUAGUACCAUCCUUGGAUAUUAAUCUUUCAUUUGACACCUCAUUUUUUGUCAUUCUACCUGUUAUAAUUAACGAGGAGGUAUACUCGCUGUCGGACAGAUGGUACCAGGCAGUACCGUGGUCGAAAAAUUGUUUAAUAGUUAAAAAUUCUCGUUGGAACUUUACCGCGCUGAGCAGAUGGGACGUGAAUUGUAAAUUGUAGAAUUCCCUCAUCUUCCUUAGUCUCAGCAUCCGUAUGGCUUGCAAAUUGUAGAAGCCUCGGAGGUGUAACCAGAGAAGGUUCCCAUUGUUUUCAUUCUGGUGGGGUGUAGAAUAGCAUUAUGUUGUUUUAUAUGCCAUUAGAGUGAAAACUUAGUAUUUUUGUUUAAUAGUUAUUUAUGUACGAAGUCAGUAAAGUGGCUCUUUAUCGAACGAGUCUGAUAUUACGAGCAGGGCAAGCGAAGCGAGCAACAGACGCGUUCGAUAAAGAGUAUUGAGGUGGUGCGUACAAAAUUGUAUCGUCAAUCAUAAAAAACAUUAACACUUACAAUUUUGAGGAAAUUUUUUUAAUUUUAGACGAAAUAAAAAAUUCGUAUGACAGUAAUGACAGAUGACUUUUGCAUGAUGGCCGGUUUUGAUGUUUAAUCGAUAGUUAUCAAUAUUGUAUACCUACCUAAUUAGUAAAUCUGUAAAGUUUUGAUUUAUUUUGUAUGAAUAUAAUUGCGAAACACUACAUAAUUUUACUUUUUGACAUAAAUUUUAUUAAUAAUAAGACAAAUUUUGUACAAUAUUUUUAAUAAUUAAAGUAAAUAAAUUUUAAUUUCACUCAAAUAAAUAAUCGAUUGCUGCCAUUGACCACUUACAUUCAAUCUCGGUUAAUUUGAUUAAUAAUCGCGGCAGGUAAAGUAACAUUCUUCUGUCAAUACAACAAAGUGUUACUUUACUGCCGAAAAUUAGGGCAAAUGAGUACAAUAAUGAAUGAUUUUAGUGACGUUUGGCGAUAAACAAUGAUUUUACACAAAUUCGCAAAAAUAAUUUUUGAAGUUAUACUUCUUUACCGGCGAUAGAGGGUAAAUUUUUAUAUGGGAAAACCUAGCGACCGGGCUCAUGCGCAUUAUAACUUUGUUCUGAUUGGAUGUUCAAAUGACAUGUCAAAAAUUAUUCAAUAUGGUGGCUGUGGCACAGCUGUAGUUAGAUUAUUUAUAUGGUUGUUGCGUUUUAAAAUUUGUGUGAAAAGAAACAACAAACAAAAGUUAGUUAAUAGUUAUACUGCCUUUUUAAAUAGUUUUCAUAUACCUAUAUUUUUGGACUUUUGGACUAUUUUGGACAAGGAAAACUCAUUCUAAUUUGGUAAGUACCUAGUUUUUAUUAUAAUCAUAUUGUAAUUAUACAUUUGGAUUAGGUUGAAAUACAUACAUUUAUUUUCUCAAGAAUGCGGAUUUUAGAGAGAAAUCCCAAAUUAGGUUCGAUUUUUAUUUUUAAAUUAUGAUUUUUUGGCGUAGAUUUAUUUAUGUAGUAGGUAUGUAAUGCUUUGAUUUACAUACUUAAUUUGAUUACCAACAAAAGUUCUACCAAUCUUCAUCUAAUAUAUUGUUUUCUUACUGUUUUGUUAUAUUUUUAUAUUUUCUUCCACAAAAUUUAAACUACAUAAUUUUCAAAACAAUUGUCAAACAGUAAAACGUUCAGUUACCGUAUUUUUCCACAUGAUAAAUAAUGUGCGAUUGGACGAGUGAGUCUACGCUUCGAUUACGAGUCAAAGCGGCACGAAAUUCAAGGGUUCAAUUCCCGAUGCAAGUUUUAUUUUUUUAUGCAUAUUAUGAUUGUAAGUAUAUUUGUUAUAUAAUUUUUUUUUCAGCAAAUGCGUAUUUAAAAUUUUUGCCAACAAUUAUUAUCGUCCAGAAAUCAUUUUUUCUUUGUGGCAUUUUUCAAUGUGUUUGUGUGCGUUUUAUUCUUUAAUUUUUUUAAAUUUUUGGUAUAGUCUUAAAAAUCACAUAAUAUGUAGUAGAAGUAUAACUUCUUACGUGCGUACAAAGUACACACACAUUCUUUUUUUCACUUCGUACAAAUUUUCUUUAGAUCCUUUGGGCCUUUUUUCUCUAAAAUUGACUGCUGUCGAGUUAUUAGCGACUUAAAAUUUGAAAAACGCCAAAAUAACCAUUUUCAAGGUUUAAUAACUCGGUUAAAGAUAAUUAUUGUGAAAGUCGAGCGAGCGGCCGUGGAGUAACGGCAUAAUCGCUGGCCUCAUACGCCAGUGCACGUGGGUUCGAGCCCUGCCAAAGACAAACCAUUUUCAUUUCCAAUAAUGACACGAGCCGUCUCACCGUGUCUCGGAGAGCACGUUAAGCCGUCGGUCCCCCUGGGCUAGUGUACAUCAACACUAGUUACUUGAAACAGGGUUAAAGGUGUAAUUGGCGCCGGAACUGUCCGAAAGGCAAAAAUGCCAUACGAUAUUAUAUAUUAUGAAAGUCAGAAACUAAAAAAAUCAACGAUUAAAGCUACCUCUAUAAGAUCCUGAAGAAAUUUUUGUCAUUAUUUCAUUAAUAAGAUAUUAUUUUUAAUUAUCAACAAUGAGCGCUAAGCGUGUAUUGAGGCGGCCGUCAAUGUGAGUGCGAGUGAGAUUCACCAUUGGACGGCCGGAAUGGUGCAUCUCUUUAGCACUCACCAUUGACGGCCGCCUAAUACGCACUUAGCGCUCAUUGUUAAUAAUUAAAGAUAAAGCUUAGUAAUCAAAUAGUGACAAAAAUUUCUGCUGGAUCUUGUAGAGGGGGCUAUAAACUUUGAUUUGGUUACUUUCUGACUUUCAUAACAAUGGAUUUUAACCGAGUUAUUAAGCCUUGAAAAUGGCUAUUUUCGCAUUUUUCAAAUUUUAAAUCGCGUAUAAGUCGACAACAAUCAAUUUUGGAGAAAAAUCACAAAAUACCUUUUUUUGCUCAGAAUAACCCAAAUGAUCUAAAAAAAAAAUUGUUCGAAGUGAAAAAAUUAUUUUUGUGAAUUUGUCUAAAAAAAAAUUGUUUAAACAAUUUAUCGAUCAAGGUACUGCCUGGCACCCAGUAGAUUUGUUACAAAGAGUACCUGGCACCCAGGUACUAUUCAGUAACAUUUAAUUUCUAGAAUCGGCUGUUUGUGUGAAUCAGAAUCAACUUUUACUAAAUGGCAUUGGGAAGAGUAUACUUUAACUAGUUGGAGUCUACUUUUACUAGUAAAUGUUGAAUAUAAAUCUUCAUUUUAUAUUUAUAAUUUAUAAUCAACUUUUACUGAAACCAGCCGUUAGAGUUGACUCGAACUAGUAAAAGUCAACUCCAACUGGAUAAUCAACUUGAACUGUAACAUAUAUAAUAGGUUUAAGAAGCAUUAUAGAUCUAGAUCAACAAUAUCAUUAAAGAAAAAACUAGCUUAUGGGUAUUUCUUUUCAAACUCUGAAAAUAUAGCUCGUGACAGUUGGAAAGUUAUAAACUAUCACAGAAAUAAAGUUCAAAAUAAAAAAGUUGUUCCUAGUACGAUCUCAUCAAACGAUUUCAAUAAUUACUUUAUAUCAGUAGCUAAAAAUAUAAGAGGUUCUUUUAGUUCUACAAAUGAAAAUGUAGCUAUAGAUAUUUUGAAAGAUGUACAAUCUCCUUGCCACUCUUUAUUUUUACUACCUGUUACUGAUAUUGAAAUCAGAAAUGUUUUGCGUGGCUUGAAAAAUUCACAUUGUACAGAUUUUUAUUUCUUAAACAAAAAAAUAAUUGUUGAAACUAUUGAUAUUGUUAUUGACAAAUUAGUUUUACUUUAUAAUAAUUGCCUUAUUGAGGGGAUUUUCCCAGAUGUACUAAAAGUAACAAAAGUGUUACCACUAUUCAAAAAUGGGUCCUUAGAUGAAAUUGGAAAUAAUCGUCCCAUCUCUACCAUUCCCAUUUUCGGUAAAAUUUUUGAAAGUAUUCUUAAUAUGCGUUUGAUAGAAUAUCUAGAUAAACACAAAAUACUUCACUGUAAUCAAUAUGACUUUAGAAAAAAGUGCAGCACUACACAAGCUAUACAAAAAAUUGUGAGAGAUAUAGUAGACGGCUUGGAGGAAGGUCAUUUAGUGUCUUUGACAUUGUGUGAUUUAUCCAAAGCUUUCGACUGUGCCUCGCAUAAAUUACUGUUGGAAAAAAUGCAUAAAUAUGGUAUAAGGGGAACCACUCUCAAUAUAUUUAAAUCUUAUUUAACAAAUAGAAAACAGGCAAUUUUUCUUAAUAAUACCUAUUCUGAUUUGAACACGGUCGAAUACGGGGUUCCUCAAGGUUCAAUACUAGGACCCACUUUGUUUCUUAUUUAUCUGAACGAUCUAUUUCACUACACUUUUCCCAUAAAAUGUGUGUGCUUUGCAGAUGAUACCACUCUCAUAAAUACUGACAUUAAUCAGCAUAAUUUGAAAAUUAAAAUAGAUAGUGAUACUCAGAAAGCAAAAAACUGGUUUUUGCAUAAUGGUCUGAAGCUCAAUGAAGACAAAAAUCAGAAUUUGAUGUUUAGUUCUGAUCGGAAGUAUGUCUUAGGAAAUAGUGUUAAACUCUUAGGAAUUUUCCUCGAUGAUAAUUUGGACUGGAGUGCUCAUACAGACCACUUAAGUUCUAAACUUGCUACAACUAUAUUUUUGAUACGCAACUUAGUUUUUAUGAUCCCUAAAAGUACCCUUAGAAUGAUCUGCUUUGCACUGUUCCAUAGCCAUUUAAAGUACGGAAUAACUGUUUGGGGUGGCUCUUGUUACGCAGACAGAAUUUUUAAAUUACAAAAGAAAGUAGUGAGGAUACUUGCAGGAGCAGAGUAUAGGGAACACUGUAAACCUUUAUUUCAGGAGUUAGGUAUUAUGUCAUUACCUUCACUCUAUAUAUAUGAGACGCUGAUUGAAAUUCAUUCCAACAAAAGUAAGUUUAACAUAAACUCCAACUUCCAUGAUUACCAUACAAGAUCGAGAGAUGCUAUUAGAGCACAACGUUUUAGGUUGACAAAAAGUAUAAAAAACUCAACUGAUGUUAAUUUGUACAAUAUUUUGCCAGAUGAUUUAAAAAGUCUUCAUUUACAGUCGUUUAAAACUAAAAUAAAAUCACACUUUUUAAAACAUUGUUUUCACACAAAGACAGAGUACUUAGGUAUAUACCGCUUUUAUACAAUAGUAAUACUAGUUUGGUCAGGUUUUUUUGCCGAUUAUGACGAUAUUUCAUGUUUUUAUGUUUAUUUCGUGUCUUUACGUUUUUAUAUACAGGGUGAGUCAUGAGGAACUGUACAUACUCCUACCUCGUAUAGAGGCUCCUAUGGGGAAUAACAAAUGACCAUUAAAAGUGUCUGCUCCCAUUGUUUAAUAAUAUACAGGGCGAGUUUCGCAUUUUGACAGAAAUUUGUAUUCGUCAUAAUUUUUGAACUGUCAGAUCGAUGUGUCUCUUAUUUUGGCAAAUCGUUACACUAUUACCACCUAAUCAACUGAUUUAUUCAAACUAGAAAAAAAUCAGGUCCGGCUUUAAAAAAUUAGUUCGUUUGGGUCUUACAAAAAACUUCACCCUGUAUACGCUUUUUGAAAACUCUAAUAUGAAUUUUACAAAUUAGACAAAUAGGCAAUUAAAAUGGCAUAUUUAUUUUUCCCCACACGAUUACUUAAUUUUUUAUAAAAAAAUCAAAUUUGACUAUGAAUUAAAAGUUGGUAAAGUGAACCAUAGAUUUAAAAAAAUUAACUUUUAUUACAAAAAUUAAUUUUUUUUUAAACAAAUAUUUAAUUUAUGUUACCACCCAAUCAACUGAUUUAUUCAAACUAGAAAAAAAUCAGGUCCGGCUUUAAAAAAUUAGUUCGUUUGGGUCUUAGAAAAAAUUUCACCCUGUAUAAGCUUUUUGAAAACUCUAAUAUGAAUUUUACAAAUUAGACAAAUAGGCAAUUAAAAUGGCAUAUUUAUUUUUUCCCCACACGAUUACUUAAUUUUUUAUAAAAAAAUCAAAUUUGACUAUGAAUUAAAAGUUUGGUAAAGUGAACCAUAGAUUUAAAAAAAUUAACUUUUAUUACAAAAAUUAUUUUUUUUUAAACAAAUAUUUAAUUUAUGUUACCACCCAAUCAACUGAUUUAUUCAAACUAGAAAAAGAUCAGGUCCGGCUUUAAAAAAUUAGUUCGUUUGGGUCUUAGAAAAAAUUUCACCCUGUAUACGCUUUUUGAAAACGCUAAUAUGAAUUUUACAAAUUAGACAAAUAGGCAAUUAAAAUGGCAUAUUUAUUUUUUCCCCACACGAUUACUUAAUUUUUUAUUAGAAAAAUCAAAUUUGUCAAAAUCGCAAUUUUACCAUAAAAAUAAAAAAAAUUAAACGUUUUUCUUAAAAUUAAAAGUUACACCAUUUUUUUUUUCUAUGACACGUCUAGAUCUAAAACUCCCCAUAACACUUCUCUUUGGACUCUAUAGUUUAACAUAGACGUGAUCAAAUAGAUAAAUUUUAAAUUUUUUCACUUAUUUUUGAGAUUUAACUUUGCAAUUCACGAAUCUGCACCUUUUAUUUUUAAAAAUUCAUAACUUUUACGAGAAGCAGACUGAAAGUCUACAACAAUUUUCAUAGUCUUCACAAUGGUAAGAGAUAUGUGCUGUAAAAAUUUCAGAAAAAAACAUUAAAAUGGAACAGAGUUGUAGCGAGUUUAUUAAACCGUGAUUUCAUUUUUUUUUUUUUCAUUUUUAGGUUAAAAUUCCGAUUUUGACAAAUUUGAUUUUUUAAUAAAAAAUUAAGUAAUCGUGUGGGGAAAAAAUAAAUAUGCCAUUUUAAUUACCUAUUUGUCUAAUUUGUAAAAUUCAUAUUAGAGUUUUCAAAAAGCGUAUACAGGGUGAAAUUUUUUCUAAGACCAAAACGAACUAAUUUUUUAAAUCCGGGCUUGAUUUUUUUUCUAGUUUGAAUAAAUCAGUUUUGGGUGGUAAUAUAAAUUAAAUAUUUGUUCAAAAAAAAAAUAAUUUUUUUAAUAAAAGUUAAUUUUUUUAAAUAUAUGGUUCACUUUAUUUACCAAACUUUUAAUUAUUCAUAGUCAAAUUUGAUUUUUUUAUAAAAAACUAAGUAAUCGUGUGGGGAAAAAAUAAAUAAGCCAUUUUAAUUGCCUAUUUGUCUGAUUUGUAAAAUUCAUAAUAGAGUUUUCAAAAAGCGUAUACAGGGUGAAAUUUUUUCUAAUACCCAAACGAUCUAAUUUUUUAAAGACGGACCUGAUUUUUUUCUAGUUUAAAUAAAUCAGUUGAUUGGGAGGUAACAUAAAUUAAAUAUUUGUUUAAAAAAAAUUAUUUUUGUAAUAAAAGUUAGUUUUUUAAAUCUAUGGUUCACUUUACCAAACUUUUAAUUCAUAGUCAAAUUUGAUUUUUUUAUAAAAAAUUAAGUAAUCGUGUGGGGAAAAAAUAAAUAUGCCAUUUUAAUUGCCUAUUUGUCUAAUUUGUAAAAUUCAUAUUUGAGUUUUCAAAAAGCGUAUACAGGGUGAAAUUUUUUCUAAGGCCCAAACGAACUAAUUGUUUAAAGCCGGACCUGAUUUUUUUCUAGUUUGAAUAAAUCAGUUGAUUGGGUGGUAACAUAAAUUAAAUAUUUGUUUAAAAAAAAUUAAUUUUUGUAAUAAAAGUUAAUUUUUUUAAAUCUAUGGUUCACUUUACCAAACUUUUAAUUCAUAGUCAAAUUUGAUUUUUUUAUAAAAAAUUAAGUAAUCGUGUGGGGAAAAAAUAAAUAUGCCAUUUUAAUUGCCUAUUUGUUCAAUUUGUAAAAUUCAUAUUAGAGUUUUCAAAAAGCGUAUACAGGGUGAAAUUUUUUCUAAGACCCAAACGAACUAAUUUUUUAAAGCCGCACCUGAUUUUUUUCUAGUUUGAAUAAAUCAGUUUAUUAGGUGGUAAUAGUGUAACGAUUGGCCAAAAUAAGAGACACAUCGAUCUGACCGUUCAAAAAUUAUGACGAAUACAAAUUUCUGUCAAAAUGCGAAACUCGCCCUGUAUAUUAUUAAACAAUGGGAGCAGACACUUUUUAAUGGUCAUUUGUUAUUCCCCAUAGGAGCCUCUAUACGAGGUAGGAGUAUGUAGAGUUCCUCAUGACUCACCCUGUAGUGUGUUAAAUUGUUUAAAUUUGUUAGUACCUGUUUGUAUAUCUAUUCUUUAUAAUAAUUAACUUUUAAAUUAAUUUUGUCAAAAUUUUGUAAUGUAGGUAUUUUUUUGACUUGUCAAAAACAACAAAAUUUUGUAUAUUUGAUUAAAUAAAUUCUAUUCUAUCUUCAUUUUUAAGAA